CAACGCAAGUUGGCACGGAUGGAUGAGGGUCUGUGUCCCUUAACCAUCUCUCCCGGGUUCGAUACUUACUGGAGGAUGGGAAUGGAGCUUGCUUGCUUGGGAGGGUCGCCCACUUUGCCUCUGCAGUACCCGAGGGAUUAGUCAUUGGGCUUCCGGCCUGAUGGAUACCCUAAUGGAGAUAUGAUGG